GGGUUUAUCCGUUGGUCGGGCUUUUGGGUCUGUACUGGCGUGAUGAAUUCCUACCUUCUGAAUAACCAGCAUGUCAUUAAUUUGGUGCGCCGGGGAAGCAGGACUGUUACCUUGAAAAAAUUAGAGUGCUUAAAGCAAGCCUACGCUCUGUAUACAUUAGCAUGGAAUAAUGAAAUAGGACGGCAUGGUUCUAUUUUGUUGGUUUCUAGGAUCACCGUA
rnacentral:rRNA from 1 species